UUUAAUUCGAAGCAACGCGAAGAACCUUACCAGGUCUUGACAUACUCAUAAAGGCUCCAGAGAUGGAGAGAUAGAUAUAUGGGAUACAGGUGGUGCAUGGUUGUCGUCAGCUCGUGUCGUGAGAUGUUGGGUUAAGUCCCGCAACGAGCGCAACCCUUAUCGUUAGUUACCAUCAUUAAGUUGGGGACUCUAGCGAGACUGCCAGUGACAAGCUGGAGGAAGGCGGGGAUGACGUCAAAUCAUCAUGCCCCUUAUGACCUGGGCUACACACGUGCUACAAUGGAUGGAGCAGAGGGAAGCGAAGCCGCGAGGUGGAGCGAAACCCAGAAAACCAUUCUCAGUUCGGAUUGUAGUCUGCAACUCGACUACAUGAAGUUGGAAUCGCUAGUAAUCGCGAAUCAGCAUGUCGCGGUGAAUACGUUCUCGGGCCUUGUACACACCGCCCGUCACACCAUGAGAGUUGAUAACACCCGAAGCCGGUGGCCUAACCGCAAGGAGGGAGCUGUCUAAGGUGGGAUUGAUGAUUGGGGUGAAGCGUAACAAGUAGCCGUAASYUCACAUCGAAUUC
rnacentral:rRNA from 1 species